AGUCGACGAACACUUUAACCUGAUUCUUCGGAUGAAGGUUUUUGUGACUGAGUGGCGGACGGGUGAGUAACGCGUGGGUAACCUGCCUCAUACAGGGGGAUAACAGUUAGAAAUGACUGCUAAUACCGCAUAAGACCACGGAGCCGCAUGGCUCGGUGGGAAAAACUCCGGUGGUAUGAGAUGGACCCGCGUCUGAUUAGGUAGUUGGUGGGGUAACGGCCUACCAAGCCAACGAUCAGUAGCCGACCUGAGAGGGUGACCGGCCACAUUGGGACUGAGACACGGCCCAAACUCCUACGGGAGGCAGCAGUGGGGAAUAUUGCACAAUGGGGGAAACCCUGAUGCAGCGACGCCGCGUGAGCGAAGAAGUAUUUCGGUAUGUAAAGCUCUAUCAGCAGGGAAGAAAAUGACGGUACCUGACUAAGAAGCACCGGCUAAAUACGUGCCAGCAGCCGCGGUAAUACGUAUGGUGCAAGCGUUAUCCGGAUUUACUGGGUGUAAAGGGAGCGUAGACGGCUGUGUAAGUCUGAAGUGAAAGCCCGGGGCUCAACCCCGGGACUGCUUUGGAAACUAUGCAGCUAGAGUGUCGGAGAGGUAAGUGGAAUUCCCAGUGUAGCGGUGAAAUGCGUAGAUAUUGGGAGGAACACCAGUGGCGAAGGCGGCUUACUGGACGAUGACUGACGUUGAGGCUCGAAAGCGUGGGGAGCAAACAGGAUUAGAUACCCUGGUAGUCCACGCCGUANACGAUGACUACUAGGUGUNGGGGAGCAAAGCUCUUCGGUGCCGCAGCAAACGCAAUAAGUAGUCCACCUGGGGAGUACGUUCGCAAGAAUGAAACUCA
rnacentral:rRNA from 1 species